ensembl:lncRNA
GCUAGCUUUAACUCUAUGUGCCUCGUCUGCGGGCUACAGCUGCCGCCGCCGCCGCCACGAUGCUAAUCAACGCCUGGCGAUUCACACGGUCUGCACUCAUUAACACCCAUCGGGCUUGUUUGCAUAUCUCUCAGCGCCUCGCGGCGGAGCUAAUCCCUCCAGCACACGGCUACAUCACCGCUACAGUGCGGACAGGUUUACCAGCGGUCCAAGGCGGCUUUGAUACCUGCCGGCCCGCCCCCCUCGGAGACGGUGCUCAGGAGAUGAAGAGCGUAUUCAGAACGAGUGUCUCAAUGAACACAACGCCUUCACAUCUCUCUGUUUGUUCCUCGAUACAUCACGGAGAGAGAUCUGGGAGACUGAGGAUGGAGUUAUCUGCUGUGAAUAUCUUUGUCUUCAGGUCGUCCCUGGGGCUUAGCGGGGUCCGGGGGGGGUCCCGGUCGGAGUGUUCCCGCUCCC